rnacentral:rRNA from 1 species
AGUGAACGCUGGCGGUAGGCCUAACACAUGCAAGUCGAACGGCAGCACAGUAAGAGCUUGCUCUUACGGGUGGCGAGUGGCGGACGGGUGAGGAAUACAUCGGAAUCUACUUUUUCGUGGGGGAUAACGUAGGGAAACUUACGCUAAUACCGCAUACGACCUACGGGUGAAAGCAGGGGAUCUUCGGACCUUGCGCGAUUGAAUGAGCCGAUGUCGGAUUAGCCAGUUGGCGGGGUAAAGGCCCACCAAGGCGACGAUCCGUAGCUGGUCCGAGAGGAUGAUCAGCCACACUGGAACUGAGACACGGUCCAGACUCCUACGGGAGGCAGCAGUGGGGAAUAUUGGACAAUGGGCGCAAGCCUGAUCCAGCCAUACCGCGUGGGUGAAGAAGGCCUUCGGGUUGUAAAGCCCUUUUGUUGGGAAAGAAAAGCAGCAGGUUAAUACCCCGCUGUUCUGACGGUACCCAAAGAAUAAGCACCGGCUAACUUCGUG